UUUGUGGAGGGUUUGAUCCUGGCUCAGAGCGAACGCUGGCGGCGUGGAUUAGGCAUGCAAGUCGAACGGACCUGUCCUUCUGAUAAGUGAAGCUUCGGCAGAUCUUUGAUGAAGGGUCACAGGUGAGUGGCAGAAGGGUGAGUAACGCGUGGGCAACCUACCUCUAAGUUUGGUAUAACACUCCGAAAGGGGUGCUAAUCCCGGAUGUGGCUAGUUUCCGGCAUCGGAUUCUAGUUAAAGAUAGCCUCUACAUGUAAGCUGUCGCUUGGAGAUGGGCCCGCGUCCCAUCAGCUUGUUGGUGAGGUAACAGCUCACCAAGGCAUUUGACGGGUAGCUGGUCUGAGAGGAUGGUCAGCCACA
rnacentral:rRNA from 1 species